CUUUAGAUCUUUAAUUUCGUCCAACCACUUUGCUCCAUAUGCAUGCAAUCCAUUUCAGCCCAAAAUUGCUCCAAAAUGCACCAAAAUGCACUUUCUUGCCAACUUUGUUAUUAGGACCUAUAAACACACGAAAAUAGCUUAAAAUACAUAAUUGACUAAGAAAUAACAACAUAAAUGCACAAGAACAAGCUAACUAAGUCGCAUAAAUAUGCUCCUAUUAAAUUCCCCCACACUUAGCUUUUGCUAGUCCUCGAGCAAAACAAAACAAACGAAACAAACAAAACACAACCUAGACCUUCCAACAUUUGCCUCAGGGAUUUUUAAUGAAACAUGACAUGUUAAAAAUCAUCAUUCCCACAUAUUUUGGUCAUCUUUACACUUGAGCACAUACUUAAUCACAGUCACCACUUACUAGUUCACAAUUAACCAAUUAAAACGAUGUUUUGAAUGUAGUAACAUGCCUUAGAGAAUUUGCUCAAUUCUUUACAAGAUACUCUCUAUUUUCACACAUAUUUUCUGACUACACACCCUACAUUAGUAUAUGUGAGAAGAUUAAUGUAAACACGAAAAACUAGGACUCACAUAUGUUAUAACAAAGAAAGCAAUUUUCUGGAGUUAUUAACAUGUUUACAUAUGAUCUCAUGAAUGGAAUGCUACUACUUAGAUGCGAGAACCAGUGACACCAUAUGCUCAUACCAAUUUCGAACUCCACAAAUUGAAACACACAACACUGAAGAUUGAAGUUAAGAAUUGUAACAGGGCUUGGGGGUAAUGGCUAACAAUGAAAUAGACACUUGGAAAUCACUUUAGAAUGCAGAAUCAACUUUUAAAUACAAAGGGAAGAUUCAUGCAACACUUAGGGCUGAAUUCAAUGUUUUGGACCCUUUUUGGGUUUUUCAAAACAAUUUUUUAAAUUUUUAUGACAUCUUCUGAUUUUUAUGUCAAAACACACUAAAACACUCCAAAACAGCUUAAAAACACUUAAAAAUAGCAAGGAACAACACUAGAAGUAAUGGGUGAUAAACUCUUACGAAUUUCAUGCAAAACAACUUGGUUACCCACCCACACUUAAAUUAAACAUUGUCCUCAAUGUUUCAAGUAUAAACUCACACAAAAAACAAGCAAACAAACAAACAAUGAAUAAACAUGACAAGUAUAGCAAAGUAAAAACCAGACAGAGUAGAGUUUAAGAACGCAAAUCUGGUUAUGAAGAUAAAUGAUCUUGUUGACUUUCCACAGCUUUGAUCUCGAACUGGUUUGGAAUUCUGAGCGAGGAAUAUGAGAGUUCCUUGGUUUCAAAUUAGACUCCUUCUGCUGGGUUGAUUUGAUUGUGCAGGCUGCAUUCUUCUCUGCUUGUUUCUUCUGCACGGCAGACAGGCAUGAGGUAGAGGUGUUAGUCUGUUUCUUUGUUCAAGCUGUCCAAAUGCCGACCAUUUGCUUUCUUUCUCCUUGUCCCUAGCUGAGGAUGAAUUAGCAUAUUGUCUCCACAUGCUUCGAGGUAUCAUUUUCACUUCCCUUAUUUGUUAUCUAGGCAAAUGUGGUAGCUUUUAAGAAAGCAUAAGAUGUUGAAGAUGAGUACUCGAGAGUAAGGCUAGGUAAGCAAUCAGGAAGGGGUUCCAGGCAGUCGGUUCCAGAUCGGAAGAUUGAUACCAAGUGCUGGCUGAUUGCUCUCUUUCUCCUUGUCCCGCAGGUGAAAACAACGACAAGGAGAAGGACAGGGAGAAAGCAUGAUAUGAGAUACUCUUGCUUUCAACCUUCAUGAUAU
rnacentral:lncRNA from 1 species